UACGUAGGCAGCAAGCGUUGUUCGGAGUUACUGGGCGUAAAGGGUGUGUAGGCGGUUCUUUAAGUUUGGUGUGAAAUCUCCCGGCUCAACCGGGAGGGUGCGCCGAAUACUGAGGGACUAGAGUGUGGGAGAGGAAAGUGGAAUUCCUGGUGUAGCGGUGAAAUGCGUAGAUAUCAGGAGGAACACCGGUGGUGUAGACGGCUUUCUGGACCGUAACUGACGCUGAGACACGAAAGCGUGGGUAGCAAACAGG
rnacentral:rRNA from 1 species